GUCACAUUGGAACUGAGACACGGUCCAAACUCCUACGGGAGGCAGCAGUGGGGAAUCUUGCACAAUGGGGGAAACCCUGAUGCAGCGACGCCGCGUGAGCGAUGAAGGUUUUCGAAUCGUAAAGCUCUGUCCUAUGGGAAGAUAAUGACGGUACCAUGGGAGGAAGCCCCGGCUAACUACGUGCCAGCAGCCGCGGUAAUACGUAGGGGGCGAGCGUUGUCCGGAAUUACUGGGCGUAAAGGGUUCGCAGGCGGCAUGGCAAGUCCGAUGUAAAAGGCGAAGGCUCAACCUUCGUAAGCAUCGGAAACUGUCAAGCUUGAGUGAAGGAGAGGCAAGUGGAAUUCCUAGUGUAGCGGUGGAAUGCGUAGAUAUUAGGAGGAAUACCGGUGGCGAAGGCGACUUGCUGGACUUCAACUGACGCUGAGGAACGAAAGCGUGGGUAGCAAACAGGAUUAGAUACCCUGGUAGUCCACGCCGUAAACGAUGAGUGCUAGGUGUCGGGGGUCAUACCUCGGUGCCGCCGUUAACACAAUAAGCACUCCGCCUGGGGAGUACGUGCGCAAGCAUGAAACUCAAAGGAAUUGACGGGGACCCGCACAAGCAGCGGAGCAUGUGGUUUAAUUCGAAGCAACGCGAAGAACCUUACCAGGACUUGAAAUACUAGCGCCCGCUUUAGAGAUAAAGUUUUUUCUUCGGAAACGCUAAUACAGGUGGUGCAUGGUUGUCGUCAGCUCGUGUCGUGAGAUGUUGGGUUAAGUC
rnacentral:rRNA from 1 species